rnacentral:rRNA from 1 species
UUAACGGAGAGUUUGAUCCUGGCUCAGGACGAACGCUGGCGGCGUGCCUAAUACAUGCAAGUCGAGCGGAGUUUCAAGAAGCUUGCUUUUUGAAACUUAGCGGCGGACGGGUGAGUAACACGUGGGCAACCUGCCCCUUAGACUGGGAUAACUCCGGGAAACCGGAGCUAAUACCGGAUAAUCCCUUUCUCCACCUGGAGAGAGGGUGAAAGAUGGCUUCGGCUAUCACUAGGGGAUGGGCCCGCGGCGCAUUAGCUAGUUGGUAAGGUAACGGCUUACCAAGGCGACGAUGCGUAGCCGACCUGAGAGGGUGAUC